UGUAGUGUUGUUAAAAAUGAUGGAAACACCUCUAUUCAUCCCGGACAGAGAAGUUAAGCUUCAUAUCACCGAUGGUACUGCGAAAGCGGGAGAGUAGGUUUCUACCC
rnacentral:rRNA from 1 species